GAGGGUUCUUUCACAUGGGUGAAGUGUUCUGACAUCAGAUCUUGACUUUUGCACAGGUUUUAAUGAGGAGACAAUGCUUUUUGUCCCUGAGCUUCUCUUGUUCAAGUGCAGAACAGAAAAAGGAGAGAGAAAGUUUGAUGCAGGGAUCAGGCCUCCUCAGCCGCUGAUGCCUCAUGAUAGAAGCACCGUGGCUUCUCAAGGACUGUAGGUUACAGAAGGCUCCCGUCUAGACUGAGUCAGGCCUGGUGGCUGGCACACACACAGUCUACCCAGUGUCUGCAAGAGCAGCCAAUUGGGAGACACUCCACACUUCUCUCUGAGUCAUUGCCUUGUCCAUCCAGGUGCCCACAGCACACACCAACCCACUGCAAACAAGACCUUUUCUCCUGGGAGAAAGCCUCAACGUUUUCAAGCUUGAGUUUUCAGAGACUAUUCACAAUAGCAAAGAUAUGGAAUCACCCUAAGUGUCCGUCAGCUAAUGAUUGGAUAAGGAAAGUGUCGUAUACAUGGAAGACUCCUUAGCCAUAAAAAGAAGGAAAUCAUGUUUUUUGCAGCAACCGGGGUGAAACUGGAGGCCAUUAUCUUAACUGAAACAACUCAAAACCAAGAAGUCAAGCACUGCAUAUUCUCACUCAGAAGUGUGAGCUGAAAAAUGUGUACACAUGGAUGUACAGAGUGGAAUCACAGACUUUGGAGACACAGAAGGGUGGGAAAGUGGGAGGGAGGUGGGGGAUAAGAAAAUUGCCGAUUGGGUACAAUAUACACGAUUUGGGCAAUGGCCACACUAAAGUCCAGACUUCACCACUAUGCACCAUUUCCAUGUAACAUAACUGCACUUGUAGCCCUUCAAUUUAUAAAAGUAAACAUUUUCAACAGUAAGAAAUAUCAUGCAUCAGUUAACCUGGCCAUGUGGGAAACCGGACAGGUGCCGCAGAGGAAGAGGUGGGUCAGGGUGCUGGGCAGGUUGGAAAGGGCGUGGUCGGCUGGGGCCUCAUUGAGAAGCUGAUGUGUGAGCCCAGCUGGAAGGUGGUGAGGGAAGGGGUUCCAGGAGGAGGGGAUAGCCGUGAGAGGGGUCCAAGGACUUGCACCCAGGCCCAUGUGCCUGGAGUGGACUAGGAGGUGGGGGGUGACCCGGCCAGCUCACGGGCUGUUUAGGCCACUGACUUGGCUUCCAGUCUUCACAAAAUGGGAAACAUCAGUGACUCACACGAUCUGACUUUUUUUUUUAAAGCUCACCCACAUUUCACGGCUAUUUUCCCUGAUGUGCUCUGGGAGGGCGGAGUGCCGUGGGACUGGCGAGCGCCUCCCUUCCUGCCUGUCGGCAUGGACUUGCAACUGCAGGAGUGCAUGGACUGAAGGACCACACGCACUCACAGCAUGGCUGGGGCCUCCAGGGCCAGCUCCUCCAGCAGGACGGGUCCUCACUCAUUCCCGAGAAAUGAAACUAUUCUGAUAACGACUUUCCAAGAAAAAGUGCAAAAUCUUGCUUGAAUGAUUCACUUCCUUUCUUCCUGUGAUAGUUAAUUUUAUGUUAACUUGGCUGGGCCACAUGGCCUGUUGCUUGGCCAAAUCCCAGUCUAGAUGUUGCUGUGAAGGCAUUUUGUAGAUGAGGAUUAACGUUAGAUCCGUCAACUUUCAGGAAAGCAGAGACCCUGUCCACGGUGUGGCUGGGCCUCAUCCGAUCAGUGGACGACUUCAAGAGAAAAAGGCUGAGGUCCUCUAAGGAAGAAGAAAUCUGCUUCCCAACAGCCUUCAGGCUCAAGCUGCAACACCAGCUCUUCCCUGGGCCUCCAGCCUGCCCUGCCUGCCCUGCAGCUUUUCCACAUGCCAGCACAGUUGUGUGAGCCGGUUCCUUAAAAGCUGUCUCUCUAGAUACAUAUAGUCACAUACAGUGAGCCCUCCAUAUCCAUGGACUCCACAUCCCUGGAUUCAACCAGCCUUGUUGGAUUAAAAUAUUUAGAAAUAAAAUGUCUGCACUGAACACCUCAAGACCUUUUUCUUGUCAUUAUUUCCUAAA
rnacentral:lncRNA from 1 species